rnacentral:lncRNA from 1 species
AUGGCGGGCCUUGGUGCCAUCCAGUCUUUGUGGGUCCCGACCCCUGCAGAACCGCAGCGCCAGCUGUCAGGUCCGCCUUCCCUGCCCCAAAGCGGGGGGAGCAGCCCACAGGGGCCUUUUGCCCUGGCCACCUGUCCUGCAGCAGCUGCUGUCCAUUCCCCCUUCUUUCGCCUCCUGAGAAGCACACAGCUUCCGAGACGAGCCAGCCCCCGCAUUCUUCCUGACCCAACGGCUAGCGGCACCCCUCGCCCCCAGGAAGGGUCCAGAGAGAGAUCUCAGGCCAAGCCUUCCUCACCUCGAGGCCCUGUCUCCCUACCCCGCCAGGCAACAGUGGCUGACCCACCAGGCCCACCUCUCCCGCCUUCUUCCUCUUCACUUUCAGGAUCUUCCAUCUCUUGGCUGAAUCUGGGAGCAGAGUCUGCAAAGGCCUUCUCUUUAUCCUUUGGGGAUUUCAGCUUCACAACCCUGAGUGGAGAAGAGAAGGAGGCACACACAGAGCGAUGGUGAUGUGAAGAUGGAGGGAGAAAUCGGGAUGCUGGCAGCCACCGAAACUUAAUUUGUGUAUUCUGACUCAGGCUUUCAAUGUGAUGCAAGGAAUGAGAUGGCCUUCCUGGUGGCUCACAUGGUGAAGCGUCUGCCUGCAGUGCAGGAGACCUGGGAUCAAUCCCUGGGUCGGGAAGAUCCCCUGGAGAAGNNNNNNNNNNNNNNNUCCGGUACUCUUGCCUGGAAAAUUCCGUGGACGGAGGAGCCUGGUAGGCUAUGGUCCAUGGAGUUGCAAAGAGCCGGACAUGACUGAGCGACUUCACUUUCACACGGAAGGAGACAUUGAAGGGGAGGCUGAGUGUACGAGGGAUUUUGCAAAUGUUCCGCGGGCUCUCGAGAGCCUAAUGGAAGGAUGUCAGGUCAGCAUGAGAGAAGGCUACAUACUCUGCGGCUCCUUGGGACCAUCAAAAAUGGAAAUAAAGGACAUGAUGGGACCACCUAGGAUGGUCCCCAAGCAGAUUAUGGGGCCCUG